rnacentral:rRNA from 1 species
UUGAAGAGUUUGAUCAUGGCUCAGAUUGAACGCUGGCGGCAGGCCUAACACAUGCAAGUCGAGCGGUAGCACAGAGAGCUUGCUCUCGGGUGACGAGCGGCGGACGGGUGAGUAAUGUCUGGGAAACUGCCUGAUGGAGGGGGAUAACUACUGGAAACGGUAGCUAAUACCGCAUAACGUCGCAAGACCAAAGUGGGGACUUCGGGCCUCAUGCCAUCAGAUGUGCCCAGAUGGGAUUAGCUAGUAGGUGGGGUAACGGCUCACCUAGGCGACGAUCCCUAGCUGGUCUGAGAGGAUGACCAGCCACACUGGAACUGAGACACGGUCCAGACUCCUACGGGAGGCAGCAGUGGGGAAUAUUGCACAAUGGGCGCAAGCCUGAUGCAGCCAUGCCGCGUGUGUGAAGAAGGCCUUCGGGUUGUAAAGCACUUUCAGCGGGGAGGAAGGCGUUAAGGUUAAUAACCUCAUCGAUUGACGUUACCCGCAGAAGAAGCACCGGCUAACUCCGUGCCAGCAGCCGCGGUAAUACGGAGGGUGCAAGCGUUAAUCGGAAUUACUGGGCGUAAAGCGCACGCAGGCGGUCUGUCAAGUCGGAUGUGAAAUCCCCGGGCUCAACCUGGGAACUGCAUUCGAAACUGGCAGGCUAGAGUCUUGUAGAGGGGGGUAGAAUUCCAGGUGUAGCGGUGAAAUGCGUAGAGAUCUGGAGGAAUACCGGUGGCGAAGGCGGCCCCCUGGACAAAGACUGACGCUCAGGUGCGAAAGCGUGGGGAGCAAACAGGAUUAGAUACCCUGGUAGUCCACGCCGUAAACGAUGUCGAUUUGGAGGUUGUGCCCUUGAGGCGUGGCUUCCGGAGCUAACGCGUUAAAUCGACCGCCUGGGGAGUACGGCCGCAAGGUUAAAACUCAAAUGAAUUGACGGGGGCCCGCACAAGCGGUGGAGCAUGUGGUUUAAUUCGAUGCAACGCGAAGAACCUUACCUGGUCUUGACAUCCACAGAACUUAGCAGAGAUGCUUUGGUGCCUUCGGGAACUGUGAGACAGGUGCUGCAUGGCUGUCGUCAGCUCGUGUUGUGAAAUGUUGGGUUAAGUCCCGCAACGAGCGCAACCCUUAUCCUUUGUUGCCAGCGGUCCGGCCGGGAACUCAAAGGAGACUGCCAGUGAUAAACUGGAGGAAGGUGGGGAUGACGUCAAGUCAUCAUGGCCCUUACGACCGGGCUACACGUGCUACAAUGGCAUAUACAAAGCGACCUCGCGAGCAAGCGGACCUCAUAAAGUAUGUCGUAGUCCGGAUUGAGUCUGCAACUCGACUCCAUGAAGUCGGAAUCGCUAGUAAUCGUAGAUCAGAAUGCUACGGUGAAUACGUUCCCGGGCCUUGUACACCGCCCGUCACACCAUGGGAGUGGGUUGCAAAAGUAGGUAGCUUAACCUUCGGGAGGGCUUACCACUUUGUGAUUCAUGACUGGGGUGAAGUCGUAACAAGGUAACCGUAGGGAACCUGCGGUUGGAUCACCUCCUU